UUGAAAAUUCCAUCCGAUUCUUCUAGUUUUGUCUUUAAGCAUAAAAACUCAAGAUUGGAACAAUCCAAAUCAUUUGGAAAUUUCACACACCAUAGGUAUGUUACUGAAUUUUGUUCGACAAUCACAUCUUUUUUCUCUUCGCACUUGAUGAUUAUUUUCUCAUCCUUUGCUAUCAAGUGGGCCACAUCGCGAACUAUGUCAUGCAUUUUGACACCUCCAUUCUUUUCAUCCAACAAUAAACAAGAACUAACAAGCUUAAUUUUGGUUGCAAUCACUUCACUCUUUGCCUCCACAUAUGAGUGUGCUUCUCCAACUACACCUAACCCUAUUGCACAUCUUGUUAAAAUUUCAACUGGAAUUUCAAAAUCUUCAGGGAACACAGAACACAACAAAAAAAGUGAUUUAGCUUCUUCAGUAUCCAAAUUAUCAUAGCUCAACUGCAAGCACUUGUAGGGAUCAGGCAAACCUCCUUCAAUAUGUAUUGGCUUCGAACUACUCAAUUUAUUCAAUGCAACACUCCAUAUCGUCUCGACUUUUCCCUUCAAACUACUAGCAACAGCUGCAAUGGCAACUGGCAAUCCUUUACAUUCAUUAGAAAUUAAUCUUCCCAUAUGCUUUAUGGUAUCAGGGGUGCCUUUAGAUAUAAGUGCUUUAUUUUGGAAAAGAGUCCAGGCUUCUUCAUCUGUUAAAAUUGGCAAGUAAAUCUUUCUUUGACAAUCCAUUGAAGUACAAACAUCUUCGGAUCUAGUGGUAAUGAGAAUCUUGAAGCCUUUAUGGUGUUCAGAGGAGGGAAUCCCAAUGGCACCAAAGUCAAGCUUCUCCCACACAUCAUCUAGAAUCACAAGAAUUUUUUUCUCCUGAGUUAAUCUCAAGCACAAUUGUUGGGCUCUCUCCAUUACUUUAGUUUCUGGAGAAAAUGUAUAUUGCAGUGAACUUGCAAUAUUUUCUUGGAUCCUUCGAACUUCCACUAUACUUGAAAUAGGCACAAAAAGAACUUUGUCAAAAAGAUGUUCCGCUUCUACUGAUUUCCUAACUUCCAUUGCUAAUGUGGUUUUACCACAACCCCCCAUCCCGUACAAUCCAAUCAUGGAAACAUCUUUAUUUUUCACUGCUUCCAGUAGUUGCUCAUAUGCAGAUUGUCUACUUUCAAAGUUCAUGCAUUUUUCUAAGAGAAUAUCAAGGGUUCCUGAAGGAAGUGUAGCAAUGCGCUCAAAUGGCACAUAUUUUCUACCUUCUUCAAUGAACUUUUCAAGGUACACAAUUUUAUUUGCUAACUUUUUUCCUACCCGAUAUCGCCAAAUCCAAUUUGGACAGUGACCAAAGCAACAUAUUUUUUUGGUUUUUGCCUCUUUCAACAACUUAUUCACAUUGUCUACGUCACUGAUAGCAUCUUGCAACCACUUUUCAACCACUUCACUAGUCUUUCUCAUUUGUCUCUCGGCAUUUACAAUAAAUUUUUGGACACUAUCUCUUGUUACAAUCAAAACACCCUCUUCUUCUUCAAGCUUUUUAAUGAAAUUGUUAAAGUAGUAAGGAUAACGCAAUUGAUUUAAUGCUGCACACACUAAAUCUCUUGAAACAGAAGAUGCAAAACCCAAGAGACACUCCAUCAAUCUAUUCCACCAAAUACAACUUUCUUUAACCUGAAAAAAUAGAAAAUGAACACGCUCUAUAUAAUUUUUAUAAUUAUAUUUAGAUAUAUUAGAGAAAAACUUAUUUAAGAUCAUUUCUUACAUCUUCUAGUACAUCAUUUUUAUUGUGAAAUUACAUAAAAAAAGGUUAUGUGUUAUUUUUUGAAUUAGAUUUAAUGUUUUUAUCUUAAAUAGCCAAUUAUUGGAUACACAAUAAAAAUAUAAAAAAAAUCUAAUAACUUGAAUGAUUAGUUUUAAAAGUUUAUGUGUAAUAAGAUUUUUUAAAUGUCCUUUUCAUCACUUACUACAAGAAAAUCAUGAAAUAGAAAUUAAUUUUUAGUGACAAAAAUAAUUAGUUGUUAUAGUGACUAAAUUAGAAACCAUUUUAUAUACUAAUUUUUUUUUGUUUCUAAAUAGUUUCUAUUAUUGUUAAAUGGUUUUUAAAUUGGUAACUAAUUAACAACGAAGGUUUUUGCUACCAAAUUUAUAAACUAAAUAAUUGGUAGUUAAAACCUUAGUUGCUAAUUAGAUACAAAUUUAGAAACCAUUUAAGAAAAAUAGAAACUAAUUUAGAAAUCAAUUUUUUUUAAUUUCUAAAAUGAUCUCAAAUUUAGUUACUAUAGAAUCUAAUUAUUUUUUUUUCUAAAAUUGGUUUCUAUUUCAUGUCUUUUCUGGUAAUGACUUCGAUAAAUUUCUCAAACAUAUUUAUUUUUAAAUAAUGUUUUAAAAAAUUAUUACCCUGCUAAAAAAAAUUAUAUUCAAACAUGUGGUUAAAUGACACCCUUAGAUCAAAAGAUUUGUUAAUUAGAAAAAAAAAAACCAAGUGAACCAGUAAAAAAUGUACUUAACCAAAGCUUGAACUAUAAUAAGCAUUAAAUAUAAAAUUAAUAUUAUAUAUUUUUUUGUAAAUUUAAUUUUAUUAAUAUUUAUUUAAAUUUAUAUAAGCUCUUUUAGAUUAUAGCACUUUGAGAUAAAAUUUGCAAAUAAGAAAAGAACAAAAUUAGGUAAUAAUUCCUAAAAUUGUUAUGUUAUAUAGGGUUAUUAUAGGCCGUUGUACAGUACCAUACUUUCAAGUGUUCAACGCUUGUUACUUAUGUUGAUGAAUUAUAUUAAUUCAUUACGAUGAAAUGUAUUAAUUCAUCAUCCUCAUUUUCGCCAUUUAAGCAAUUAAAAUGGAGUUUAUAAUAUUAUACUGUGUAAAAAAUUCCAUUAAUAUAAGUGUACAAUUAUUUAGUUUAGUUUAAAAUUAUUUAAAUUUUGAAUUAGAAUAGUAAUAUUAUUAUUUUUAUUAAUAUUAUUAACAAUAUAUUGAUGGAGAAACAUGAACCUACCAUGUUUAACAUAUAUUGAAUAACUACUAUACCUUAUCAUAUUCUUAAUAUUAAUAAUAAUAAUAAUAAUAAUAAUAUAAUAAUAAUAAUAAUAAUAGUGAUAAUAAUAAUAAUAUUAAUAAUAAAAAUAAUAAUAUCCACAUACAAUUUUUUUCCGUAUUAGUGAUUGGAGUAUUUACGUACAAGAAAUUUUCCGUAUGUGAUAAAUAUGAGCAUUUACAUACAUAAUUUUUUUCAUAUGUAAUGAUUAACGAAAAGUUUUCUUGGUAAUUAUUAAGAAUAUUUAUAUAUGAAAUUUUUUCAUAUGUAAUGAUUAUACGCAUUAAUAUUAUUAAUAAUUUUAUUAUUAUUUUACUAAUGCUACUAUUAUUAUUAUUGUCAUUUUUAAUAAUAAUAAUGAUAAUACUAUUAAUAAUCAUAAUAAUAAUAAUUUUUAUUAUUAAUAUCGUUAUUCAUAUUAAUAAUAAUAUUAUUAUUACUAUUAAUAUUAUCAUCAUAAUAUAUAAGUGAGUGCAAACUUCACUCCAUUGAGCCGGUUUUAUGGGAUUGAGUUAAGCUUAAAGUUCACUUCGUAAUAAGUUGUAUGGUUUAGAAGAGUUUGAUUCUUCCAUGUCAAAUAUACAUGAAAUUGUUUUGGAAAAAAGAAUGUGAUGUCACUAGUACAUUUGAUUUUGAUAAUUCAAAUACAAAAUGUUAUGUUUCAAAUAACUCGUUGAUCAACAUCAACCUCGGCUCAGCCAAAUUAUUAAGAAGUUAAUCAAACUCAACCCCAACACGAUGGGAUUAUUAAAAAUUUUAUCAGCAUUGACCCUAAUUCGGUGGAAUUAUUAAAAGUUGAUAACCAUUGAUCCCGAUCUGGGGAUUAUGUUUUGUUUAAAAACUUUUGGAAUGUUGAAUUGAAAUGAGUGAAAGAUGAUGUUCAAGUAAAUUUUGGAUUGUACUGGUCAUUUAUGUGUUUGAGAGUUGUACUUGUUAAACUGGUUUUGGAUAAAACUUUGAAAAUAUGUUUCUGGGACAUGAGGUUGAUUUUAUGAUAUUUUUGCUCAAGCAAGCCAAUCCUCACUCAAGCAAAAAUAGCACUGCAUAUCAAUCUUGCAUUUAACCCUAUUUUCACUCAUGUUAUAAUAGAGAUCCCCUUACUUCACUGAUGAUCUAAGACACAUAGACUAAGAUAUCAAGGGUUGAGAAUCUGAUGGGAAAGUUGUUGCACACUGUGACAUAUGUGGAUGCACAACUUGAGUGGUAUUUAAGUUAAUAUGAGUCGUACGGAAGGUGUUAGUCGAUAUUCUACUUGUUAAAUACCCUUGAUUGUAUAGAUCCAUGUGUUGUCUUGUUGUACUUUGAUAUUUGAAUGAGAUUGAAUGGUUGUGAUAUAUUGAUUAAAAUGUCUUCUUUUAUACUUUUUUAUGUUGAACUAACAGUGAUUGUAUUAAGUACAAAAGCAUAUAUAAAGACAUACUCAGGAGCAACAUCAUAACAAUAAAAACUUUAUUUUAUCUUUUCUUUUGUAAAUAUUUAUAUAUAUAUAUAUGUACGAAUUUGUAUGUAUUUUAGUUGUAUUUUAAAAUAUUUUAUGUUUUAUACAUAUUCUGUGUUAGAUUUUUAGUACAGUGGAUAGUUCUUUUUACAAUAUUAUAUUAACUCUAAAAUCAUAAUCCCCUAAUGAAAAACACAAAAGAUCAUAUAUUAUAAUACAUAUAUGUAGUAUUAAGUUUAUAUAGACGGUCCUACCAUCUACAUUGAGUUGAGUUCUUGGUACUUUAUAUAGACUAGAGUUAAUUUAAGUGUAAUUUGUGAGAAUAUUAAGGAGUAUGAUUGUAUUUUACGAACCCGUUCAUUAUUCACAACAUCAUAAUUGGAUGUGAUUUUUAAUAAUUGAUAAUGGAAAAUGAAAUAUGGAUCAUGAAUGUUUCUGGCUUCUGCAUUUUUAUUAAAUAAAAAAGGGAAGAGAUACGUACUUGUUCAUCGUUCAAAUCUAACUAAUUUGGAAGUGGAAAAAAAGAGAAAAGAUAGGUAAGGUUUUUACGUUACCUGCUUUAACUAAGAUGCAGAGAGAGAUGAGAAAAAGAAGUGAUGAUCCAUGACUUCAAUACAAGACACGCUGAAACGUUAAGUUACUGCACAAACAUAAACACAAACACAUGAUCUACAGCUUCAAUUGAAAAGGAAUCGAUUAGAAUUUCAGACCGAUUCAUACCUCCACACAGAAGAAUGCACUCCAUUGAUUGAAUCGAAGAGAGAGUAUUAGAAACAAUCCUCACACUUACUGCAACAAAUAUCUCAGAGAAAGAAACAAGUGCUGAUCCAUGACUUCAAUGCAAGAAACACUGAAGCAUUAUGUUACUGCACAAACAUAACAAACAUAAACACAAACACAUGAUCUGCACCUUCAAUCGAAAAGGAAUCGAUUAGAAAUUGAAAUCAAAGCAGAAGUUAACUUCACACACAGUGAUUCAUACCUCCGCAGAGAUGAAUGCACUCCAUCGAUUGAAUCGAGGAGAGAGCAUAAGAGUUAAGAAUGAAAGGACAUUUGUGAAGAAUGGCGCAGCAACACAUUUCUUGUUAUUCAAUUUGAGAAUGAAAAGCAGAGUUGUGAAGAUUCGUGCACCAAUACCUUUCUUCUUAUUCAGUUUAGGAAUGAAAGCACAGUUGCGAAUUACCUUUCUUGUUAUUCACUUUAAGAAUGAAAGCACACUUCUGAAUAUUUAACUUUUAUACCAAGGUAUUACAAAAUGACAAUGGGUACUCAAUGAAGGAAGGGAUCAUAAAAAAAAUGGUUUCUGUAAUUUUGAAGAAACUGGAGAUGCAUUUGAACAUUAUAAGUCACAUAAAAGUUUUUUUUUUUUUCAUAUAACACUUGUAUUGUUUUGUCUCAACAAGAGCAACGUCUUACAGAACAAUAAAUAAGAUAGCAAACAUACAACAAAAUAGAACAAUCAACUUUUAGAAAGUCAAUUGAAACUAUUUGAUGGUCAAUUGAAACUAUUUGAUGGCGUGAAAAAAUUGAAGCAUACACUACAGAAAAUAAAAAAGACAGAACAAUAUUAUGUAGUUGCAAGUCUUCCUUUUGAGUGAUAAACACUUUGGUCCUUUAUAGCAAUGAACAAUGAAAAUUUUCAUGAGGGAUUUCUAGCAGUCAUGCGAUUGUACUCAUAUUGACUACACAGAACUGACCAUUUAUAAGUCACCUCAAACAAUUUUUGUUGAACUUUUCUUUGAUCUUCAACCAUUUGAGACCCGUCUUUCCUCACAUUUUCAAGCUCCAUUUUGUACCCAAUAGUUUCCACAAGGCAUUUAUUUUUUUCCUCCUCCAGAUAUGAUAAGGCAUCCUCACAAACUUUUAUUUCUUCCUUCAACCUAAUGAUUUGUUCCUUCAAAACUACUUCCUUCAGUUGAGCUUCAUCAUAGAAAUUCUUUGCCUCGGAAAUUUUGGAACCAAAAGUAAUGGCCACCUCAUUCCCACGAGCUUCAUGUUCUGCCAACUUUUCAGUGGUAGCAAAGCCUUGCUUAAAGGUGCAUACAAUGCUUGGGAACUCUUGUUGCAUAAUGCCAAUAAUAUCUUUGAGUCCAUCUGACAGAGUUACAUCUUUAAAAGGAAGGUUGGACAGGAAAUUAAGAGCAGACAAAAGACUAAUGAUAUUAGUCUUCGAGCUAACUAUGUCCUUCAGAGACAUCUUUAGAUACUUUUCCAACUCAACAAGGGUCUUUCCAACUAGGUUGUCUUCACCUUCUUUCCCCACAACAACUGGUGCAAAUAAACUCAUGAUAUCAUUGGCCCCAAAGUCUUGAAUAAUUUUAGGUUGGCCUUCACUUUCUUUAGCAGUGCGUGUCUCAGUUUGGCUGCUCCAAAUUUCACUCUUGGAGGAAUAAGAAGAAAAUAUAACAGAAAAGACGUUAGCAUCAAGCCACAACAGUUGCAAAGCAUUGAGUUCCUUAAACCAUUUUUUAUCAAAGCAUAUUUGUGAGAGUGAUAGUAACAAAUUCAUUAAAUUUAAAUUCCAACUUGAAAUUUAGUACUUUUUGUUUUUUAAUUCCACUCCUAUGGCAAAUGAUAAAUCAAAAUGGUAACAUCAUUUUUAUGAUGAUCAAAUAUGUUGGAAUUGUGAUUUGCAAAAUAAACUUCCAUGUGGAUGUGAUUUAGUUUGGAAAGUAAAUAUUUGGUCCAACUGUGAGCUAGUGUAUUCGGAAUGAAUUGAAGAAGCUGUCAUACUGGUGUUCUUUUUUAUGGUUUCCUCUACAACUUCUCGCUCAAUACUCUGCAUACUCUGACAGAGAAAAUUCACACAACCAACAUAGAGAUACAACUUCAAAUUCACAAAAAGUGAUAGAUUUUCUCUGGGCAUUAACAAAGUCAUUUAAGACUUUUAAUUUCAUUCAUUUUUUACAUUACAUAGUCAAGAAGUUAAAUGAUCAUACCUCUUAGGAUUCUCAUUCAUUUGUCUCUCCGCAAUCUCCUUUCUCAACUUAGGAUCCCUCGUCAAAACAUGUUGACGCAUUUCAUCUACCCAUGAACUCUCAAAUCCAAUCUCAAGAGCUUCUUCGCAUAGUUUAUGGAACUCUUUUUCUCUUUGAGGAAUAACAUCGUCAACACUUUCUUUCUGAACGAACAACAACAUAUCUGCCAACAUUUUCAACCUCCAAGCUUGAAAGCGCUCACUAAACUUCUCGCUAACAUUCCAAAGAUGAGGAUAUGUUGUAAUUGCCUCCACCAGAAGAGCAAUUUGUGCAUCAUCCAGAUCAACAAAAUGUUUAUAUGUUCCCAAUCUUGUACGGAUAUCUGCAGAAGCUAUAAAAAGUUUGAAAGAGUGAUAUGAAAAUAUAGGAUUGAAACAAGAAAAUAAGAAAUAAAAAACCUGGAGAGAUGUCAAUAUUGUUGUUAGAAACAAUAUGUAUCUCCUCUUGUUUUUCCAAUAGGUUCAAACCUUCUUCUACUUUGAUUUCUUGGCUUGACAUGAUUCUUGCAUUCCCUUGAUCAUUCAUCUUAUCAUCUUGUUCAACAACCUUGGAAUCUUGUGCAUGUAUGUCCACGUCACCAAACUCAAUGUGAGUUGCCACACCACCUCCAAUGCUAAUGUCUUCAACACCAGUUGACAAAGGUUUUGUCUUAUCACCCUCUGUUGAAGGCCCCUCACGACCUCCAUUAAUGUCUUCACCAAUAGUUAACAAAGGUUUUGUCUCACCCUCUACUGAAGGCUCCUCUUCAAUGCUCUCAUUUCCAAUGUUUCCAAUCUCCUAUCACAAAUUGAUAAAAUACUAUUGAGUGAGAGUUUAUAAAGUUUGAAAGGACCACUAUUUUUAAUGUACAUCAUGUGGUGGUAUGAGAGUAGUUUGAUAAUUUUUAAUGGUUUUGUUACUAUUACUUCUUCAAGUGCAUGUUUGUCUUAAUAUCACCAAAUUCAUUUUAGGUUUAGUAAUUAUUACACCUAUAUGCUAAGGUAUUUUAUGCAGAGAAUACACUUUACAAUGCUCAAGCUAAGUUUUGUAAGGUAACUCUCAUUGUGACUAUACUUAUUUCUUCUUCAUAUUUAGUUUUUAAUUUCAAGUUCAUUCCUAAUUAGUUGACAUAUGAUGAUAUUAUCUAAUGCAGUUCCUUCUUCGACACCACUCAAUAUUCUGCAAUCUGCAUAAGUCCAGAAGAUGUGAAAUUUGGUAUCUGCAUAAUGUAAACCGAACACUUAAAAAAAAUUAAAAUAAAAAUCAAUUUUAAAAACAAAAAUUAAUUGGUAACUAUAUUAACUAGAUUUGAUAUUAUCUUAAAAACUAAAAAUUAGUAGUAUUUAAAGUUUUUUAUAUUAUUAAUAAAAUUUGUAAAUUAGUUUUUAUAUUGGUAUAUAAUUAGCUAAAAUAUUGGUAACUAAUUAGAUAUCAAUAUAAAAACUAAUUUAUAAAUUUAAUAAUAAUAUAAUCAAUUUUAGAUACUAAUAAUUUUUUUAGUCUCUAAAAUAAUAUAUAAUUUAAUUAAUAUAGUAAUUAAUUAUUUUUGUCUCUAAAAUUAAUUUUUAUUUAAUAAUUUUCUUAGUGAGAAAUAAUGAUUGUCUCUCAAAACAUAGAGCAUUAUUUUAAGAAAUUUUAAUUUAAUUCUUUAAAUUUCAAUGUGUUACAUAUCUUUUUAAAACUUUUCUCAAUUUUUAUUUUAAUACUAAUAUCUUACAAAAUUCACACUCUUAUUCACACUACAGGUAAAUUAAUAAAUACUAGUUUUAAAGACAAAAAAUAAUUAAUUACUAUAACUAUAUUAAAAAUAUUAUUAGUAUUAAAAAUAAUUUUUAUUAAUAUUAAUAAAAUUUAUAAACUAGUUUUUAAAUAUCAAAUUAUAAACUAGUUUAUAAAUUUGAUUAACAAUAAAAAAAUUACUUUAAAUAUCAAUAAUUUUUUUAAUUUCUAAAAUAAUAUCUAAUUUAGUCAAUAUAAUAAUUAAUUAUUUUUUAUUUUAAAAUUAAUAUUUUGUUAAUGAUUUUCUUGUAGUAUAUUUUAUUUUAUUUCUAAAAAAAAAUAUUUUUAAGAUAAAAAAAUAAUUUUUUACUUUUAUGAUUCAGGUACUUAUUUAAAAUCUCAAAUCUUAUUUUUCUAUCACGUAAGUUUAAAUUAAAAAAAUCCUAAUAAUGAGAGAAAAAGGUUAUUAAACUUUUUUUUAAUUGUAUUUAGAUUCAUAGAUUGGUUGGUUCUGACCUGUGUUGAAGUGAACUCACUGCUACAACUAAUACUAAAAUCUUCAUCUAAACUUCUCAUCAAGUGAUUUAUCUCCCAUAACCAAAGUCCAGUCCUUUUGAAAUCUGUAACGAAAAAUACAUAAAAAAGAAACGCAACCUCAGCUUUUCAUGAUGAAUAAUUAUAUUAUUACAACUAAAUAUAACAAAUGAUUUAAAAAGUUUCAUCAUAGGAAUUUUUUUUAUCACCCAUCAAAAUAAAGGAUCGAUCGUUUUCUUUAACAGUUCUUCCUAACUACAAUUACUAGAGCUUAAAAUUAAAAAAAAAAUCAGCAAAUAAUAAUUUACUGUGUUUAUUUUAAAAAAUUUAGUAAAUACUCGGUUGGAAAUUUGAAACAGUCUUAUCUGAAUGAAAUAGUUAAUUUGUAAGGAAAUAUAGUAUUUACCAUGAUAAGGAAAAGUUUUCUUGAGUUUCUCCAGAGUAGUUGUUGGAGUCAAAGAUAGUUUUGGACAUUCGUAGACAACACAAUUCUUUAAAUGGGACAAUUCAAACUCUUGGUUGAGAUUUGAAAGAUGCGUAAAUAUUAAAACUUUGAGUCUUGGAAGUUCAAUUUUUGUUUUUCCUAUCUCAUCAUCACCUUUUCCUUGUCCACGUCUAACAAACUCUUCUAGUUUAGAGGCUCCACUUAUGAUUAAAAGAUAAAGAUUAGGAAAGUCAUUAGAUGCAGAUCCAGAGAUAAAUCUUUUGAGUUUGUGGCAAUGUCCAACAUACAAUGCUUCUUGUUUUGGGAAGAAUGCCUGAGGAGAAAGAAGACUAGACAAUUUGUUAUCCUCCACAUCCUCUUCAAUGAUUACUCUUAAUUCUUUGCAUUUUCUUAUCUUCACAAUACUCAACAUUGGUAGGCAUCUUAAAUCAUACUUUGAAAAGAUUACUUCCAAUUUUGCACAUCCAAUAAUUUCUAAUUUUUGAAGAUUUGAGAAGAUAAGAGAAUUGUUUGGAGCUCCUUGUUCACAUCCAACAAUCUUCUUCAAUUUCAUGCAUUCUUUUAUUAUUAGCUCUUUCAACUCUGGUAAGCUUCUUAAAACAGAGGGAGGAAAUAUUACUUUCAAUUUUGCACAUCCUAUUAUUUUUAAUGUAGUAAGAUGUUGGAGAUUAACUGAAAUCUUGGAAGCCACCCAAAUAUAAGUCAUUUGAGGUAUAUUUUCCAAUUUCAAACGCUCUAACCUUAAGCUCACUUGUUGCCCAAUCAUUCCAUCUCCAUUAAGACAAAAAAUACCUUCUACUUCAGAAUUGGUUACAGAUAUAUUUUGCAAAGUGAGAAGAGGGUUCUGAACCCCUUUUGGAUCCUACAGGACAUUCAUAGGAAAUGAAAAAACUCCAAAAAGAAAACAAAAAAGGAACAAAUAACUAAUAAUCAUAAAAAAAAGACAAGACUACCUUCUUACUUGCGUUGAUAGGUUCUCUUGAAUCUGCAGGAGCCGUCAAGCAAUUAAUAGAAUUAUAAAACGGAUAGGCACAUUUAUAACAAGUAAACUCCUUCAAAGAUGGCCACGUCACGGUGAGAUUGUUGGUAGCACAAAUGCUAACAAAAUUUGGUAGAUUAUCAAGAGAGAGUAUUUCCAAUGCUGAGAAAUGAAUAUGCAUCUCCUCACAAUCCUUAUUAGCUGCGAAAUAUUGGCCAAACAUAUAUGUCAAUUGGCCACAAUCACGCACUGAGAGGUCUCUUAAGUUUGGGAAGAUUGCAUUCAAAUUCUCUUUGCCAUAUUCAUCCUCAGUGUCUAUAAUGUGCUCAAGUCCGUGACAUUGCUCGAUUCUCAAGAUUUCCAACAUCAGUAAUGAAGCAAUGGACAAUUUAAAAAUGUACUUUACCUUAUCAAAGCCAUUCAUGUUAAUCUCUCUUAUGUUAUGCAUAAUAAUCAAGGUCAAACCAUGUGGUGGUUUUGAAAUAUAUUGAACACUUUCAACUGGGAAAAUAGAAUCUGAGUUCGAUAUCUGCAAUACAUACACCAAGUUACUUGUUAAACCAAACUAAUUAGUGUCUUAACUUUAAUUAUUAAUGUAUUUCAUUUCUAACAAAUAAUUGUUUAUGAAAAUAAAUUAUUUUUGUUUAGCACAACAAGAAAAAGUUGAAAAGAGAAUAAUUUCACAAAAGUAAUCUAUUCCAAAUAAUCUAUGCCAAUACUUAGAUAUUAAAAAAUUCAUGUUGCACCUUCGGUAUAGUGCUUGUAAGACCAACUUUUAUUUUUAGCACAAAAUGAUCGUGCAAUUCAAAUGUUUUGAGUAAUUUUUCUAAAUACACGAAGAGAGAGACAAAGUAAGUGAUGAUAAUCAUACCUUGAUUGCAAUAUAAUCCUCUUGUCUAGCUUUUGAAGAAUCUGCUGAACAAUUUAUAGUGAAAAACUCAACACAUCUUCCAGUAGUCAAUGAUAGUUUUCCUAAAGAUGGACAUCUUACAUGAUAAUUGCCUAGAAGAGAGUUAUCCAUGAUACGAACAAGUACGAGUAUUUCUAAAGCAGGAAGCUCAAUUUGAUUAUUAUUUUGUUGUUGACUUGAAAGAUCUUUCAAAUUAGAAGCCUCUUUAUUUCCUAUUUCCAUGCCUCCAACAAAAGAGAUAGGGAACAUACAUUGCAAUAAGUCACAUUCACUGAUAUUUAGCGUUUUCAAACUUUGGAAGAUUGAAAUAUCACUCUGAAAGUCAUGGUCAUCCUGGACAAUGUUUUCCUUCUGUUGAUUGACCCUUUCAUGAGUUACUAUAUGUUUCAAACUAUUGCACCUUUUUAUGAUCAACACUUCCAAAAAAGUCAAGGUCUUAGCUAUAGAUGCUGUAAAAAUUGAGCCUAACUUCGGACAAUCGAUUAUCGUAAGGCUUGCAAGGCUUGAUAAAGUUCCUGAAAAGCAAUUAUAAAUAAGAAAAAUAUCGCUCAACAUAUUAGAGUUCGUUAUAUAUAUGUUAUGUGUGCAAGUUACAUUCUAAUUUUGAAGACAUUGGUUUCUAGGGACGGAACUGCAAUCCUAAGCAUCAAACGAUUCGUUAAUAAUGAUGAAAAGAAUCAUACAAAACAAAUUUUUUUAAAAUAAUUCGAAAUUAUCUAAAAAGUUUAAAAUGCAAAUAUAAUUGUCUUUAAUUUUGAUUGGAGACAAAUUUUGCUCAUAGUGCAUUAAGAAGUAGUAGGUUUAAGUAAAACUAGAUUAGUAAUGUCUUGAGUUUGAACCACGUGAAUGAAAAAUAACAGAUUAGCAGUUUUCAUCUAACUUGUAAAUAACUUCAACUAAGCAAUAACAUGUAGACUUCUUAAUAUGUACCUGGGCUAUGGUUCAAAAUUGUUGUUGAUGGAGUUGAAGUGCUAUACAAAUGUGGAUGCUUACCUUCCUCAACGAUUUCAGCAAGUUCUUCUUUUUUAUCCUGGUAUGUUAAUGGAUCAAUAUCCCCAAAUAUUUGAUCUAACAUGUUGCAUUCUUGUAUAUUGAGCACUUUCAAUUGAGCUAAGCCUUUUAAAACACUGGUCGAGAAUAUAUCUUUUAAUUCUCUACAUCUAUUUACCUCUACUUCCUGAAGAUUUUGGAAGAUUUGUACAGGAUGCCCAAUGGUGAAUUCACAUUGAUUUUUCUCUCUUUUCUCAUCAUCUGCUAAUAUAUGUUUCAGUCCAUCACAUUCUGAUAUUUUUAAUAUUUUCAAUUGUACCAAACAUCGAGCAACGACAUACGUGAAGAGAGAUGUCAACCGUGGACAAUCACUUAAAUACAACUCCUCUAAGUUCUCAAAAGGCCCAUUGGCAGGUUGAAAACAAUGCCAUAAAGCUCUUAGACUUUUCAUGUUAUUCAUUCUGAGCGUAUGCAACUUUGAGAAGAAAGUUACCACCUCACUCAAAUGGUUACUAGUUUCAAUCAAGCACUCUAUCUCUUCAGAAUCCUGUAUCUCAAACUUAUUCAGUUCAUCCAAACCUCCUCCUUCAAUUUGAAAUAUAUCAGGGAUGAUAUUUUUUGCGCCUCCCUGAAUAUUUGCUACAACUAGAUCUGUUGCUUUUUUUGCCAAACCCUUAAUUACCUCAUUUGAUAUGUCAAAAUGGUUAAGUAAUAGAGUUCUGGAAGGAGGGUGAAGAUAAUUAUAAUUAUAAUAAAAGUCAUUGUAUCCCAAUACAAUUGCAUACCUUUGCAAUGUUUGGGGGACACUAAACGUGUUAAAGAAUUCAAUAUUGUCUUCACUGUUAGCUUUCCAUUUUUCUUCAACAAUGUACAACUCUUCUAGUCGUGGGGUUCUUUUUAUCACUUCAAAAUUCUUCCCUUUCAUUUUACAUCUGUAGAACUGUAACAAUUUUAAGGUUGUUAUUUGUGUAAUUGCAACAUUGGUUUGUAAUUCAGGAAAUGAAGGCAAUGAACAAUCAUUCAUCGAAAGACUUUGAAGUUUUUUCAUAUUGUUUACAAAUGAGAAGUCGCUCAAUUCAUAGCCAGAAAUAACUAGAUAACGAAGAUUCGUUAAUGUUUUUAAAGACAUUGUGGACAAUGGUGUUAUUCCAACAUUAUCAUUGGCUAGAAUUAAAACUUUGAGAAUUUCCAUUCUUUUGAAGAUUCCAUCAAAUUCUUCCAAUUUUGUCUUUAAGAAUAAAAACUCAAGAUUUGAACAAUCCAAAUCAUUUGGAAAUUUUACACACCAUAGACAUCUUAUUGAAUUUUGUUCAAUAGUCACAUCUUUUUCCACUUCGCACUUGAUGAUCUUAUUCUCAUUCUUUGCUAUCAGGUGGGCCACAUCGCGAACUAAGUCAUGCAUUUUUACACAUUCAUUCUUUUCAUCCAACAAUAAACAAGAACUAACGAGCUUAAUUUUGGUUGCAACCACUUCACUCCUUGCCUCCUCAUAAGAGUGUGCUUCUCCAACUACACCUAAUCCUAUAGCAUAUCUUGUUAAAGAUUCAAUUGGAAUUUCAUAAUCUUCAGGGAACACAGAACACAAUAGGAAAAGUGAUUUAGCUUCUUUAGUAUCCAAAUUAUCAUAGCUCAGCUGCAAGCACUUGUAGGGAUCAAUCAAACCUCUUUCAAUAUUUACUGGCUUAGAACUUCUCAAUUUAUUCAAUGUAACACUCCAUAUCGUCUCAGCUUUUCCCUUCAAACUACUGGCAACAGCUGCAACGGCAACAGGCAAUCCUUUACACUCAUUGGAAAUUAAUUUACCCAUAUGCUUUAAGGUAUCAAGGGUGUCUUCAGAUAUAAGGGCUUUAUUUUGAAAAAGAGUCCACGCUUCUUCAUCCGUUAAAAUUGGCAGGUAAAUCAUUCUUUGACAAUCCAUUGAAGUACAAACUUCUUCUGAUCUAGUGGUAAUGAGAAUCUUGCAACCUUUAUGGUGUUCAGAGGAGGGAAUUCCAAUGCCACCAUAGUCAAGUUUCUCCCACACAUCAUCUAGAAUUACAAGAAUGUUUUUCUCCUGGUUUAAUCUCAAGCACAAUCGUUGGGCCCUCUCCAUUACUUCAGUUUCUGGAAAUGUAUACUGCAAUGAACUUGCAAUUUUUUCUUGAAUCCUUUGAACUUCCACUGUACUAGAAAUAGGCACAAAAAGAACUUUUUCAAAACAAUGUUCUGCUUCUACUAACUUCUUAACCUCCAUUGCUAAUGUGGUUUUACCACAACCCCCCAUCCCAUACAAUCCAAUCAUGGAAACAUCAUUAUUUUUCACUGCUUCCAGUAGUUGCUCAUAUGCAGAUUGUCUACUCUCAAAAUUCAUGGAUUUUUCUAAGAGAAUAUCAAGGGUGCCUGAAGGAAGUGUAGCAAUGCGGUCAAAUGGCACAUAAUGUCUACCCUUUUCGAUGAACUUUUCAAGGUCCACUGUUUUAUUUGCUAACUUUUUUCCUACACGGUAUCGCCAAAUCAAAUUUGGACAAUGCCCAAAGCAACAGAUUUUUUUGGCUUUUGCCUCUUUCAACAACUGAUUCACAUUGUCUGCAUCAUUGAUAGCAUCUUGCAGCCACUUGUCAACAACUUCACUGGUCUUUCUUGUUUGUUUCUUUGCAUUUGUAACAAAUUUUUGGACACUGUCUUUCGUUACAAUCAAAUCGCCCUCUUCUUCUUCAAGUUUUUUUACGAAAUUGUUAAAGCAACAAGGAUAACGUAAUUGAUUUAAUGUUCCACAUACUAAAUCUCUUGAAACAGAAGAUGCAAAACCCAAGAGGCACUCCAUCAAUUUGUUCCACCAAAUGCAACUUUCUUUUACUUGAACAAGAGAAGAUGAAUACUCCAUAGUUAGUUUUAUAAUUAUAUUUAGAUGUAUUAGAAAAUAAAAGAUUUUAAGAUCGCAUUACAUAUUGGAGUACGUCACUUUUAUAGUAAAAUUACAGAAAAGGUUAUGAUAUUAUGUUUAGUAAUUAGAUUUAAUGUUUCAUACCUUAUAUAAUAAUUAUUGGACAUAGAAAUAAAAAUAAAUCUAAUAACUUUAAUGAUUACUUUUAAAAGUUCAUGUGUGAUAAGAUUUUUAAAUUUCCUUUUCAUCACUUAGAAAAUUUUAUCAAAUAUAUUUAUUUUUAAAUAAUUUUGUUUCAAAAAAUUCUUAUCCUCCCUAAAAAAAAUUAUAUUUAAACAUGUGCUUAAAUGACACCCAAAUAGAUCAAAAGAUUUGUUAAGUAGAAAAAAAAAGUGUACGAGUAAAAAAUGUAUUUAACCAAAACUUAAAAUAUGCAUUAUAUAUAAAAUUAAUAUUAUAUAUAUUUUGUAAGUUUAAUUUUAUUAAUAUUUAUUUAAAUUUAUACAAGCUCUUAGAUAUAGCACUUUUUGAUAAAUUUGCAAAUAGGAGAAUAACAAAUGUUGGUAAUUUCUAAAUCAGAAUAUUUUUCCAAGAUUCUUGGAGUAGAAUAACAUAUAAAACGAUACAAGGUUCAAGAAAAAGUCAUCAAUUUUCAGAGUUUGAUAGAGGUGUUCGUAAAGCAGAGAAUUAGAGUUUUCUUAGUGUUUUAUUUUCUUCAUUAUAAUCCUUUAAAUUUGUCUCCAUAUGGAAGGUUAAACCCCUUAGGAUUCAUUUUCUUGUGUUUUUGCAAUAAAUUGAGGUUUAUGUUCUAUAAAAUUGUAUUCUUAAAUUCUCUAUAGCAAAUUGUGUUUUAUUGUUAGUCUUUUUGGAAUGUGGUUUUUGUCAAAAUAUUUGUUUUUUAACGCUUAUUGAGAAUUUAGCUAAUUUCUUUAAUUUGAUUCGCUUAGUCUUAAUCAAUGUCUUGUUUGCUUAAUUGAAGAGGUAGAAGAUAAACAUCUAACAAGUAGACAUUGAAACUUGUGAGAUACUGAAUACAUCAGUGGACACUUGUUUUGGUGAUAUUUAAUUAAUUACCAAGUUUUGGAUAUCAAUUUUAGAAUCUAAAAUAGUUGGUGGCUAAAACCUUGGUAGCUAAUUAAAUAUUAAUUUAAAAACUAAUUUAUAAAUUUAGAAACUACUUUAACUACCAAUAAUUCUUUUAAUUUCUAAAAUAUUACUUAAUUUAUUCAAUAUAGUGACUAAUUAUUUUUUGUUUCUAAAAAUAAUUUCUAAAAUUAGUCUAUUUAAUAAUUUUCUUGUAGUGCAUAUUAUGAUUAAUAUAAAAUGACAUGUGAUUUUUAUUUUUUUUAAUUAAAUAAUGUGUUGGAUAACAAAGGACUAUCAUUGUCACUUACAUCAAUGACAAUGACGACAAUUCCUUGAUCGUUGUAGAUGUUGACGUGAAAGUAAUAGGUAAGUAUGACAAUCUUGUUAUCCAACACAUUUUUAAUAAAAGCAAUAAGAAUCACUUCUGAUACAUUAACAAUAAUAUCAUUUUGUAUGUACUAUACAACAUACAUUUUUAACAUGUGGAAACAAAUAAGAUGUCGAAUCAAAAUAAUAGUCAUGUCACUUUAUUAAUGAAAAAUAAACGACAAAAACUCAAUUAAAAAUAUAUUUUUUUAAUUAAAAGUAUCUAAAAAGAUACUUGAAAUUUAAUUAAGUCUAAAAUAAAUGAUUUUUUUUAGCUCAUUACAUAUACUUAGCUACAUUGAACUGAGUGAGUUAGACUAGGUACUUUAUGAGUUCUUCUCAAAUUAAACCAAGACUCGAGUGCUUUAAAAAUUCUACACAAACUUCUAUUGUUUUGAAAGCCUUACAUUAUCACUGUUUGUUAAAUCACACAUGCAAUUUCAUUAAAAACCGUUAAUAUAGGUAUAAUUCAAUUUCAUUAAAAACAAUUAAUAUAAGUAUAAUUUGUGAGAAUAUUAAGAAGUAUGAUUGUAUUUUACUCACCCAUUCAUUAUUCACAUCAUGAUGAUUGGAUGUGAUUUUUAAUAAAAAUUUCCAAUGUAAAAAGUGUUUGAAUGUUUUUUCCUACACUUUUAUACCUUCUUCGGGCAUCCGUAUUUACAAGUAAGGUCAAAAUAUCAUUUUAUCCUUAAAAAUAUACUUCUGAAUUUUACAAUUUGAAAGUGUUAUUUUUUCUAUGUUCGAAAUAAUUCAAAAGGUAUAAUGCUUUUCAGAUUUUACAAUUUAAAAUAUAUUUUUUUCUUUAAAAAAAUUUAUUCUGAAAUACAUAAUCCAAAAGUUUUCCUAAAUAUGAUAAUAGCUUUCCUAAAUAUGAUAAUAGCUUUCAGAUUGUACAAUUCAUAACAAUCUAUUACUAUAAUAUUCAGAUUGUCCAAUCCAAAAGAUAUUUUCAAAUCCGAAAAUACUUUUCAAAUUCUACAAUCUAAAUAUAAUUUUAAAAUAUAUUUUGGAUUGUACAAUUUAAAAUUAUCCUUACAAAAUAAAGUCCAAAAUACAUUAUAAUAAAGAGUAUUAUAGAUUUUAUAAUCCAAUAUAAUAAAAAAAAUAAACGAAUGGAAAAUUCUAAUAUGUACUCGUAAUGUUAGGGUUGGAAUUAAAAAAAAAAUAUGGAAAUUUAGGAGAAAGAAAAAACGUGUAGGGAAGAAACAUGUGUGUUCCCUAAUUGAUAAUGGAAUAUGAAAUAUAGAUCAUGAAUGUUUCUCGCUGCCGCAUUUUUAUUAAAUAUCAUUUUUAAAUGGGAAGAGAUAUAAAAACAGUGUAUUAUAAUAGUUAAAAUUAAUAUAAUAAAACUAAAAGUUGUAUUGUCUGAUGGAAAAAUACAUUAAUAUAUAAAAAAAAUAUUUAUAAAAUUUAAAAGAUAUUACGAUUACUUUAUUUUAACAGGAUUUAUAUAUGUACGAAAUAAAUAAGAGCAAAAAUAUCUUUAAAAAUAGUGUAAGAAAAAGUAUCCGUCUUAUAUAUUAUCAAUGGAAAUAUAGAGACCGAUGAACAAUAUUUUUUAUUACGUUAAAAAUAAAUAACCUUCUAAGAAUAAUUUUAAAAAUAUAUGAUAAUUAUUUUUAAGAAAAAUUAUUAUAUAAUUGUUUUUAGUAGAGAAACUAUAUACUUACUUAUUUACUAAAAAAAUUAUUUAAUUUAUUAAAAGAUAAAAUUAUCUAAUUAAAAAAUGACAAAAAAUAGUUAUAAAAAAUAUUUUCUGAUACAAAUUGUUAAUAAUAGUAAAUUAAUUAACCCUAAUAAUAAAAAAAAGUGAUAAUAAAUAAAUAAUGAAAAAAAUAAUAUUGAUAAUAUAAUAAAGAAUAAUAACAAUAAAAAAUUUACUUAUUUUUAUUUUAAUUUAAAUAAUUUAAAAAUAAUAAUUUCUACUCUUUUUAUUUUCUCAAUUAACACUGUUUUAUAUUUGUUCUCUCAUUUUUUUAUUUCAUUAAUUUAUUUUCCCCCUAUUUGGUUUCUCAAGGCAACUUGUAAGGCUGCAAAAUUCCUUCUGAUCAAGUGAAAAAAAUCAAAUUCUCAAAUCCAAUUUAUAUUUAUUUAAAUUUAUAUUAUUUUAAGUUUAUUUAAAUAGAUUUAUUUGAAAUCCAAUUUUUAUUUUUACAUUUUAACUUCAAUCUAUUUUAAUUGGCGUUGGAAGGAAUAUUGAAUAGUUUUUAAUUUUGAAAAUCUAAAAUCACGUAAGUCUAAAUCAUUUUAAGUUAUAAAAAACUAAGUUGAGCUAAACCCAAGUAAAAUAUUACUGGAUCGGACUCAUGUAAGAUCAGCCCAAGUUGAUCCGAGCUCAACAAUUGAGCUCAAUCCAUUCAGUUCUAGUUCAAUCAAGUUGUGUUGUGUCCAAAUCAAACGAAGCAUGAUUGGAUUAGGUUAGGUUAAUCCUAGAUAGAGUCGAUUUUGCCUAAGUCCAAGUCAACUAAGACUUUGGUAAGAUUAAAACGGACUAGUUAAGUCGAAACAAGUCAAGUUGCGUUUAUAUUCAAUCAAUACAUCGGAUCCAUAUUGAGUUGAAACCAUGUUUAACUAAAUUGAGUUAAUUCCACGAUAAGUCAAUUAGGUUGAUCUCACCUCAGAUUUAAGUAAAUUUAAUCUAAAGUUAAUCCAUUUCAAAAAUUAAUUAAAAAAAUUCAAAAUCAAUUUAAUUUAGUUAAAAUAGAUAUGUAUUUUAAUUUUGAAAAUUUUCCACGCAUGAUCCUCCGAACUUCUCAUCACACUUUUCCCUCCCAUCCAGCUAUUCCCAUUUUGAACUCUAUCGUCCAUGUGGUUGUUUAUACUGAGUUUUCACAAAUGUUUGAGUAUUUGUAAUAAAAGUUGUUUAUAAUAGUUAUUUAUAAAUAAAAUUAUUAUUUUAAUGUAACUUCUAUCCAUAUAAAUGGUUUAAAUUUAAAAAUAAUUAUUUAUAAAUUAAAGGGAGUUAUUAUUUUAGAAGAAAAAGAGAGUAGGUGAAGUAAAACAAAAGUGCAAAUAGAAGUCUUAAUUUAUGGGAAAAUAAGAAAGAUUCAGCUAAUACAAAUUGUUUUUUCAGAUCUCGCAUAAAAAACAGAGUAUCUAGUGUUUUGAUCCACAAGAUGAAGCAGAUAUAGUUGUCUGAACCUGUUCAUGGUUCAUAUCUAACUAAUUUGGAAGAAGAGGAAAGAUAUGAAAUAUUACCUUCUUUAACUAAUAUGUAGAGAGAGAUGAAAGAAAGAAGUGGUGAUCCAUCACUUCAAUACAAGAGAAGCUGAAACGUUACGUUUCUGCACAAACAUAAACACAAACACAUUAUCUACAACUUCAAUUGAAAAGGAAUCGAUUAGAAAUUGAAAACAAAGCAGAAGUUAACUUCACGCUGAUGCAUACCUCCACAGAGAUGAAAGUACUCCAUUGCUUGAUUCAUACAUGCACAGAGAUGAAAGGAAUCCAUUGGUUGAAUGAAGAACAGAGUAAAACAGAGAAUCCUGCAAGAGAUAAGAAUGAAAGCAGAGAAGUGAACCCAACCACACCUUUUGGCUAUCAGAGUCACAAUCGGUUUUACAAUUCAAGUAUUUGUGAAAAGAAUACAUGUGGAUUUGUUUUAUACAUGUAGUUUAAGUAAAAUUAUUUAAAAAUAAUUCUUCAAAAUAAAGACUCAGAUAAUACAAUUCAAAUAAAAUUUCGCACUAAAAUAUAAAUGUAAAUAAAUUUGCUCUUUCAAAAAAAAAUUUAAAAUAAAUUGCACACAAGUUCAAAAAAAUUAAUAUUUCUAAAAAUAAUUUUAAUUUCACAAGUCUAAAUAGAAAUAUUUAAAUAUAUAAAAUUAAAUUCUAAAUAAUUUUUCAGCGUUUAAUAUUUCUCUAGCAGAUACAAUAAUUAACGGGUAAGGGGUAUUUGUGGAUAAUAUGAUACCCUUAUCCUUAGAGUGAAUAAUUAAAAUAUCCAUACAUAUUAUUUAUGGAUAACUAUUAUUUGGAACGCAGUUUUUUCAACACUUUCUUUGAAAAAAUCUUUGAUGUUUGAGAAACUUUUACAAAAUCUUUGUGAAAGAAGAAAAAAAAAUGUAAACAUUCAUUAUAAGAAAAAAAAAAUAUUUAGAAGUUUGAUGUAAUGUUCAAAACUUUAAUUUGUUGUAAAUAUUUGAUUAAGUCCUAUAUUUUGUUUUUCAUGUAUACUACACCAAGUUUCCUUAACAAUUUUAUUAUGAUAAUCUUUUAACUUUUCUACCAAAGUAGAUACGAUGUACAUUAUCUUUUAUUACAUGUCUCGUGAAUUUAUGGUUGAUGGUAAAUAAUUGAAAUCUUUAUUAAUUUUAUUGAGGUACAUUGUCCAAGUUCUGUGAAAAUAAUAUUAUGCCAAAAAAUAAACAGAAAAUUUUCUUACUCUUGACUAUUUAAAAUAAGUGGGAAAUUUUUAAUAAGUUACACUUGUUAUCAAUCUUGUUUUUCAGAUUUUUUUCAUAAUUUUUUAUUUAAUCUUUGCUGGGUUUAUUAUUGUAGAGCAUAAAGAUAAUUUUGGUUGCAUAUGGCUAAGACAGUGAAAUGUUGAAUAUAAGUGAUUGCUGCAUUAGAAGAAAGAGGAAUGCCAAAUGGGCUAAUGUAACACUCAAUGCAACUCCUUUUUCUUUUUUCUCAAACAUAAUAUUGUUGGAAUCAUAUCCACAGAGAAACAUGGUGAACUCAUUAAGACAUACAUAAAAUAAAUAUAAGGUAUUACAAAAUGACAAUGGCACUCAUUGAAGGAAGGAACAUAAAAGAAAUGGUUUUUGUAGUUUUGUCUCACCAAGACCAACCUCUUACACAACAAUAAAUAAGAUAGCAAACAUACAACAAAAUAGAACAAGCAAAAGACAGAACAAUAUUCUAUAGUUGCAAGUCUUCCUUUUGAGUGAUGAACAAUUCGGUCUUUAAUAACAGUGAACAAUGAAAAUUCUCAUGAGAGAUUUCUAGCAGCCAUGCGAUUAUACUCAUAUUGACUACAGAGAAAUGACCAUUUAUAAGUCACCUCAAAUAACUUUUGUUGAACUUUUCUUUCAUCUUCCACCAUUUGAGACCGGUCUUUCCUCACAUUUUCAAGCUCCAUUUUAUACCCAAUAGUUUCUACAAUCCUUUUAUUUUUCCUCUUCCAGAGAUGAUAAGGCAUCCUCACAAACUUUUAUUUCUUCCUUCAACCUAAUGAUUUGUUCCUUCAAAACUACUUCCUUCAGUUGAGCUUCAUCAUAGAAAUUCCUUGCCUCGGAAAUUUUGGAACCAAGAGUAGUGGCCACCUCAUUCCCACGAGCUUCAAGUUCUGCUAACUUGUCAGUGGUAGCAAAGCCUUGCUUAAAGGAGUGUACAAUGCUUGGGAACUCUUGCUGCAUAGUGCCUAUAAUAUCUUUGAGUCCAUCUGAUAGAGUUACAUCUUUGAAAGGAAGGUUGGACAGGAAAUUAAGAGCAGACAAAAGGCUAAUGCUGUUAGUCUCAGAGCUAACUAUGUCCUUCAAAGACAUCUUUAUAUACUUUUCCAACUCAAGAAGGGUCUUUCCAACUAUGUUGUCUUCACCCUCUUUCCCCACAAUAACAGAUGCAUAUAAACUCAUGAUAUCACUGGUCCCAAAGUCUUGAAUAAUUUUAGAAUGGCCUCCACUUUCUUUAGUAGUGUGUGUCUCGGUUUGGCUGCUCCUAAUUUCACUCUUGGAGGAAUAAGAAGAAAAUAUAACAAAAAAGACGUUAGCAUCAAGCCACAACAGUUGUAAAGCAUUGAGUUCCUUAAACCAUUUUUUAUCAAAUCCUAUUUGUGAGAGUGAUGGUAACAAAUUCAUUAAAUUUAAAUUCCAACUUGAAAUUCAGUACCUUUUGUUUUUUAAUUCCACUCUUGCAGCAAAUGAUAAAUUAGAAUGGCAACAUCAUUUUUUAUGCUGACCAAAUAUGUUGGAAAUGUGAAUUGCAUAAAAUAAACUUACAUGUGGAUGUGAUUUAGUUUGCAAAGUAAAUAUUUGGUCCAACUGUGAGCUAGUGGAUUCGGAAUGAAUUGAAGAAGCUGCCAUACCGGUGUUCUUUGCUAUGGUUUCAUCAACAGCAACUCGCUCAAUAAUACUCUGCACAAGAACAAGAAAUAUGUAGUUUUGGUGUAUGCCGUUUUAUUUUCAAAAUGACAAGAUGUGUGUCAAUAAAAUGCCUCGGUUUUAUUUUGUUCGUCAUUUACCUGAGGAAUUUUGGGGCUACUUACAAUUUCUCCUAGUGGCUUUUGUUGGUUCAUCAAACACGGUUCACUAAUCCGUUGUUUGUCCACCAAUGCCUAAAGAAAGUAAUGAAUAGGUGUAAAAUCAUUGUAGACUCAAUACUAUUUUUUCAUCCAAUACUCGAAAAAAUAUUUUUAGACUCACAUUUGAGUGUGUUUCAUGUAGAGGUUUAUUCAAAUAACUUGAACUUGGCCUUUCAACUAGUUGCAAGUUUGUUAAUGAUGUUGUCGUUCUUGGUAUUUCUGAAGUGGAAACUUUUGCAACAAAUUCCUUCUCUGGUUCUUCAUUUCUUGCAGUCACAAUGCGGUCAUUGGAAACAACAGCUAUUUGACCUUCUUUGUCAACCAAGUUAAAACCUUCUUUGAAGUUACUAUUAACAUUAUGAGUCUUCACACUUGGAGAAGUUCUUUUGCAAUUUUCAUUAGGCCCAUCACCAUGUUCAACAGCCUUGGAGUCUAGUACCAUCUCCACACUACUAUACCUGUGUAAUAAACUUAAAUUUUAUGCUCUAUGCAUCCCAAAGAACAGAAAACUAAGAAACAUAUGGUAUCAAUCUUGUAAGAAUUGCAGAUACAACCACAAUGUAUAUAUAAACAGAAAUAGGAAAUCCACACAACCACAACAUAGAGAUAUAACUUCAAAUUCACAAAACACUAAUACAUUUUAUCUCCACAUUAACAAAGUCAUUUAAGACUCUUAAUUUCAUUCAUUCUUUACAUUAAGUAGUCAAGAAGUUAAAUGAUCAUACCUCUUAGGAUUCUCAUCCAUUUGUCUCUCUGCAAUGUCCUCUCUCAGCUUAGGAUUCCUCGUCAAAACAUGUUGACGCAUUUCAUCUACCCAUGAACUCUCAAAUCCAAUCUCAAUAGCUUCUUCGCAUAGUUUAUGAAACUCUUUUUCUCUUUGAGGAGUAACAUUAUCAACACUUUCCUUCUGAAUGAACAACAACAUAUCUGCCAAAAUUUUCAACCUCCAAGCUUGAAAGCGCUCACUAAACUUCUUGCAAGCAUUCCAAAGAUGAGGAUAUGUUGUUAUCGCCUCCACCAGAAGAUCAAUUUGUGCACCAUCCAAAUCAACAAAAUGUUUAUAUGUUCCCAAUUUUGUACGGAUAUCUGCAGAAGCUAUAAAAAGUUUGAAAAGUGAUAUGAAAAUAUAGGAUUGAAACAAGAAAAUAAGAAAUAAAAAACCUGGAGAAAUGUCAAUAUUGUUGUUAGAAAUAAUAUGUAUCUCCUCUUGUUUGUCCAAUAGGUUCAACCCUUCUUCUACUUGGAUUUCUUGGCUUGGCAUGAUUCCUCCCUUUCCUUCAUUCAUCUUAUCAUCUUGUUCAACAACCUUGGAAUGUUGUGCAAGUAUGUCCACACCACCAGACUCAAUGUGAGUUCCAACACCACCUCCAAUGCUAAUGUCUUCAACCCCAGUUGUUAAAGGUUUUGUCUUAUCACCCUCUGCUGAAGGCCCCUCUUCAAUGCUCUCAAUUCCUAUGUUUCCAAUCUCCUUUGUAUCACAAAUUAAGAAAAUACAAUUGAGUGAGAGUUUAUAAAGUUUGAAAGGACCACUAUUUUUAAUGUAUAUCAUGUGGUGGUAUGAGAGUAGUUUGAUAAUUUUUAAUGGUUUUGUUACUAUUGCUUCUUCAAGUGCAUGUUUGUCUUAAUAUCACCAAAUUCAUUUUAGGUUUAGUAAUUAUUGCACCUACAUGCUAAGGUAUUUUAUGCAGAGAAGUUUCCAUACAAAUUAGAGGUGAGUUUCUAAAUUCUAAAAGAGUAGUUGGUAUUGCUAGUCUCUCAUUGAUGUUAGAACUAUUUCAAUAAAUAUUGUCAGUUUCAAGAAUACACUUUACAAUGCUCAAGCUAAGUUUUGUAAGGUAACUCUCAUUGUGACUAUACUUAUUUCUUCUUCAUAUUUAGUUUUUAAUUUCAAGUUCAUUCCUAAUUAGUUGACAUAUGAUGAUAUUAUCUAAUGCAGUUCCUUCUUCGACACCACUCAAUAUUCUGCAAUCUGCAUAUAAGUCCAGAAGAUGUGAAACUUGGUAUCUGCAUAAUGUCAACCGAACACUAAAAAAAAAAAGCUUACAAAAAAUAAAUAGUUACUAUAUUAACUAGAUAUACUAUCUUAUAAACUAAAAAAUUAGUAGUAUCUAAAGUUAUUUAUAUUAUUAAUAAAAUUUAUAAAUUAGUUUCUAUAUUGGUAUCUAAUUAGCUAAAACCUUCGUAGCUAAUUAGAUAUCAAUAUAAACACUAAUUUAUAAAUUUAUUAAUAAUAUAAUCAACUUUAGAUACUAAUAAUUUUUUUAGUCUCUAAUAUAAUAUAUAAUUUAAUUAACAUAGUAACUAAUUAUUUUUAUCUUUAAAACUAGUUUUUAUUUAAUAAUUUUCUUGUAGUGAAAAGUAAUGAUUGUCUCUCAAAACAUAGGGUAUUAUUUUACGAAGUUUUAAUUUAAUUUUUUAAAUUUCAUUGUGUCACAUAUCUUUUUAAAACUUUUCUCAAUUUUUAUUCUAAUACCAAGAUCUUACAAAAUUCACACACUACUGGUAAGUCAAUAAAUACUAGUAUUAAAAGACAAAAAAUAAUUAAUUAUGUACUAUCUUAAAAAUUAAAAACAUUAUUUGUAUCAAGAUUACUUUUUAUUAAUAUUAAUAAAAUUUAUAAACUAGUUUUUAAAUAUCAAAUUAGAAACUAGUUUAUAAAUUUGAUUAACAGUAAAAACUACUUUAAAUACCAAUAACUCUUUUAAUUUCUAAAACAAAAUAUAAUUUAGCCAAUAUAAUAAUUAAUUAUUUUUUAUUUUAAAAUUAAUUUUUUGUUAAUAAUUUUCUUGUAGUGUAUUUUAUUUCAUUGCUAGCAAAAAUAUAUAUUUUUAAGAUAACAAAAUAAUUUUUUACUUUUAUGAUUCAGGUACUUAUUUAAAAUCUCAAAUCUUAUUUUUCUAUCACGUAAGUUUAAAUUAAAAAAAUCCUAAUAAUGAGAGAAAAAGGUUAUUAAACUUUUUUUUAAUUGUAUUUAGAUUCAUAGAUUGGUUGGUUCUGACCUGUGAUGAAGUCAACUCACUCCUACAACUAAUUCUAUAAUCUUCAUCUAAACUGUCCAUCAAGGGACAUAUCUCCCAAAACGAAAGUUCAGUCCUUUUGAAAUCUGUAACAAAAAAUACAUAAAAAAGAAAUGCAACCUCAGCUUUUCAUGAUGAAUAAUUAUAUAAUUACAAUUAAAUAUAAAAAAUGAUUUAAAAAGUUUCAUUAUAGCAAUUUUUUUUUAUCACCCACCAAAACAAAGGAUCGAUUGUUUUCUUUAACCGUUCUUCCUAAUUACAAUUACUAGAGCUUAAAAUUAAAAAAAUUCAGCAAAUAAUAAUUUACUGUGUUUAUUUUAAAAAAUUUAGUAAAUACUUAGUUGGAAAUUUGAAACAGUCCUAUCUGAAUGAAAUAGUUAAUUUGAAAAGAAAUAUAGUAUUUACCUUUAUAAGGAAAAGUUUUCUUGAGCUUCUCCAAAGUAGUUGUUGGAGUCAAAGAUAGUUUUGGACAUUCGUAGACAACACAAUUCUUUAAAUUGGGCAAUUCAAUCUCUUGGUUGAAGUUUGAAAGAUGCGUAAAUAUUAAAACUUUGAUUCUUGGAAGUUCAAUUUUUGUCUUUCCUAUCUCAUCACUUUUUCCUUGUCCACGUCCAACAAACUCUUCUAGUUCAGAGGCUCCACUUAUGAUUAAAAGAUAAAGAUUAGGAAAGUCAUUAGAUGCAGAUCCAGAGAUAAAUCUUUUGAGUUUGUGGCAAUGUCCAACAUACAAUGCUUCUAGUUUUGGGAAGAAUGCCUGAGGAGAAAGAAGAUUAGACAAUUUGUUAUCCUCCACAUCCUCUUCAAUGAUUACUCUUAAUUCUUUGCAUUUUCUUAUCUUCACAAUACUCAACAUUGGUAGGCAUCUUAAAUCAUACUUUGAAAAGAUUACUUCCAAUUUUGCACAUCCAAUAAAUUCUAAUUUUUGAAGAUUUGAGAAGAUAAGAGAAUUGUUUGGAGCUCCUUGUUCACAUCCAACAAUCUGCUUCAAUUCCAUGCAUUCUUUUAUUAUUAGCUCUUUCAACUCUGGUAAGCUUCUUAAAACAGAGGGAGGAAAUAUUACUUUCAAUUUUGCACAUCCUAUUAUUUUUAAUGUAGUAAGAUGUUGGAGAUUAACUGAAUUCUUGGAAGCCACCCAAAUAUAAGUCAUUUGAGGUAUAUUUUCCAAUUUCAAACGCUCUAACCUUAAGCUCACUUGUUGCCCAAUCAUUCCAUCUCCAUUAAGACAAAAAAUACCUUCUACUUCAGAAUUGGUUACAGAUAUAUUUUGCAAAGUGAGAAGAGGGUUAUGAACCCCUUUUGGAUCCUGCAGGACAUUCGUAGGAAAUGAAAAAACUCCAAAAAGAAAACAAAAAAGGAACAAAUAACUAAUAAUCAUAAAAAAAAGACAAGACUACCUUCUUACUUGCGUUGAUAGGUUCUCUUGAAUCUGCAGGAGCCGUCAAGCAAUUAAUAGAAUUAUAAAACGGAUAGGAACAUUUAUAACAAGUAAACUCCUUCAAAGAUGACCACGUCACGGUGAGAUUGUUGGUAGCACAAAUGCUAACAAAAUUUGGUAGAUUAUAAAGAGCGAGCAUUUCCAAUGCUGAGAAAUGAAUAUGAAUCUCCUCACAAUCCUGAUUAGCUACGCAAUAUUGGCCAAACAUAUAUUUCAAUUGCCCACAAUCAAUCACGAUGAGCUCUCUUAAGUUUGGGAAGAUUGCAUUCAAAUUCUCUUUGCCAUAUUCAUCCUCAGUGUCUAUAAUGUGCUCAAGUCCUUGACAUUGCUCGAUUCUCAAGAUUUCCAACAUCAAUAAUGAAGCAACGGACAAUUUAAAAAUGUACUUUACCUUAUCAAAGUCAUUCAUGUUAAUCUCUCUUAUGUUAUGCAUAAUAAGCAAGGUCAAACCAUGUGGUGGUUUUGAAAUAUAUUGAACAUUUUCAAGAGAGGAAAUAGAAUCUGAGUUCGAUAUCUGCAAUACAUACACCAAGUUACUUGUUAAACCAAACUAAUUAGUGUCUUAACUUUAAUUAUUAAUGUAUUUCAUUUCUAACAAAUAAUUGUUUAUGAAAAUAAAUUAUUUUUGUUUAGCACAACAAGAAAAAGUUGAAAAGAGAAUAAUUUCACAAAAGUAAUCUAUUCCAAAUAAUUUAUGUCAAUACUUAGAUAUUAAAAAUUCAUGUGGUAUAGUGCUUGUAAGACCAAGUUUUAUUUUUAGCACAAACAUGAUCGCGCAAUUCAAAUGUUUUGAGUAAUUUUUCUAAAUACAAGAAGAGAGAGACAAAGUAAGUGAUGAUAAUCAUACCUUGAUUGCAAUAUAAUCCUCUUUUCUAGCUUUUGAAGCAUAUGUUGAACAAUUUAUAGUGAAAAACUCAACACAUCUUCCAGUAAUCAAUGAUAGUUUUCCUAAAGAUGGACAUCUUACAUGAUAAUUUCCUAGAAGAGAGUUAUCCAUGAUACGAACAAGUUCGAGUAUUUCUAAAGCAGGAAGCUCAAUUUGAUUAUUAUUUUGUUGUUGCUCACAAAAAUUGUCUUCGAAAUUAUUUUGACUUGAAAGAUCUUUCAAAUUAGAAGCCUCUUUAUUUCCUAUAUCCAUGCCUCCAACAAAAGAGAUAGGGAACAUACAUUGCAACAAGUCACAUUCCCUGAUAUAUAGCGUUUUCAAACUCUGGAAGUUUGAAAUAUCACUCUGAAAGUCAUGGUCAUCCUCGACAAUGUUUUCCUUCUGUUGAUUGAUCCUUUCAUGAGUUACUAUAUGCUUCAAACUAUUGCACCUUUUUAUGAUCAACACUUCCAAAAAAGUCAAGGUCUUAGCUAUAGAUGCUGUAAAAAUUGAGCCUAACUUCGGACAAUCGAUUAUCGUAAGGCUUGCAAGGCUUGAUAAAGUUCCUGGAAAGCAAUUAUAAAUGAGAAAAAUAUCGCUCAACAUAUUAGAGUUCAAUAUAUAUAUAUAUAUAUAUAUAUAUAUAUUAUUUGUGUAAGUUACAUUCUGAUUUUAAAAACAAACGAUCGAUUAAUAAUGAUGAAAAGAAUCAUACAAAACAAUUUUCUUUAAAUAAUUAUAAAUUAUCUAAAAUGUUUUAAAUGCAAAUAUAAUUGUCUUUAAUUUUGAGUAGAGACAAAUUUUGCUCCUAAUGUAUUAACAAGUAGUUGGUUUAAGUAAAACUAGAUUAGUAGUGUCUAAUUUGAACCGCGUGAAUGAAAAAUAACAAAUUAGCAGUUUUCAUCUAACUUGUAAAUAACAUCAACUAAGCAAUAACAUGUAGACUUCUUAAUAUGUACGUGGGCUAUGGUUCAAAAUUGUUGUUAAUGGAGUUGAAGUGCUAUACAAAUGUGGAUGCUUACCUUCCUCAACGAUUUCAACAAGUUCUUCUUUUUUAUCCUGGUAUGUUAAUGGAUCAAUAUCCCCAAAUAUUUGAUCUAACAUGUUGCAUUCUUCUAUCUUGAGCACUUUCAAUUGAGCUAAGCCUCUUAAAACACUGGUCGAGAAUAUAUCUUUUAAUUCUCUACAUCUAUUUACCUCUACUUCCUGAAGAUUUUGGAAGAUUUGUACAGGAUGUCCAGUGGUGAAUUCACCUUGACUUUUCUCCGUUUUCUCAUCAUCUACUAAUAUAUGCUUCAAUCCAUCACAUCUUGUUAUAUUUAAGAUUUUCAAUUGUACCAAAUGUUGAGCAACGACAUAUGUGAAGAGAGAUGUCAACCGUGGACAACCACUUAAAUACAACAUCUUUAAGUUCUCAAAAGGCCCAUUGGCAGGUUGAAAACAAUGCCAUAAAGCUCUUAAAUUUUUCAUGUUUUUCAUUCUGAUCUUAUACAACUUGGAAAAGAGAGUUACCACCUUACUCGAAUGGUUACUUGUGUCAAUCAAACACUCUAUCUCUUCAGAAUUACGUAUAUCAAACUUAAUGAGCUCAUCCAAACCUCCUCCUUCAAUUUGAUAUAUAUCUGGGAUGAUAUUUUUUGCGUCUCCCUUAAUGUUGGCUAUAAAUAGAUCAUUUGCUCUUUUUGCCAAACUCUUAACUACCUCAUUUGAUAUGUCAAAAUAGUCAAGUAAUAAAGUAUUGUGAUGAGAGCUAAAUUCUUUAUAAAUACAAUUAUCAAAAUUACGGGAUCCUAAUACAAUUGCAUACCUUUGCAGUGUUUGGGGAACACUAAACAUGUUAAAGAAUUCAAUAUUGUCUUCAUUGUUAGCAUCCCAUUCUCCUUCAAUAUCGACAAUGUACAACUCUUCUAGUAGAUGGGUUCUUUUUAUCACUUCAAACUUCUUCCCUUUUAUGUAACAUUUGUACAACUCUAACAAUUUUAAGGUUGCAACAUUGGUUUGUAAUUCAGGAAAUGAAGGCAAUGCACAACCACGCAGUGAAAGACUUUGAAGUUUCUUCAUAUCGCUUACAAAUGAGAAGUCACUCAAUUCAUAAUGAGAAAUAACUAGACAACGAAGAUUUGUUAAUGUUUUUAAAGACAUUGUUGACAAUGGUGUUUUUCCAUCCUUAUCAUUGACUAGCAUCAAAACUUUGAGCCUUCCCAUUCUUUUGAAAAUUCCAUCCAAUUCUUCUAGUUUUGUCUUUAAGAAUAAAAACUCAAGAAUGGAACAAUCCAAAUCAUUUGGAAAUUUCUCACACCAUAGAUAUCUUACUGAAUUUUGUUCGACAAUCACAUCUUUUUUCACUUCGCACUUGAUGAUAUUGUUCUCAUUCUUUGCUAUCAAGUGGGCCACAUCGCGAACUAUGUCAUGCAUUUUGACAUAUUCACCCUCUUCAUUCUUUUUAUCCAAC
rnacentral:lncRNA from 1 species